rnacentral:rRNA from 1 species
UCGAGAAUCUUUCGCAAUGGGCGCAAGCCUGACGAAGCGACGCCGUGUGAGCGAAGAAGGCCUUCGGGUUGUAAAGCUCUUUCGCUAGGGAACAAGAGAGACCGAAUAACACUCGGUUGAUUUGAUGGUACUUGGUAAAGAAGCACCGGCUAACUCCGUGCCAGCAGCUGCGGUAAUACGGAGGGUGCAAGCAUUGAUCGGAAUUACUGGGCGUAAAGGGCGCGUAGGCGGUUGGAUAAGUCAGAUGUGAAAUUCCGGGGCUCAACCCCGGAGCUGCAUUUGAAACUAUCCGACUAGAGUACAGUUAGGGAAAACGGAAUUCCACGUGUAGCGGUGAAAUGCGUAGAUAUGUGGAAGAACACCGGUGGUGAAGACGGUUUUCUGGGCUGUUACUGACGCUGAGGCGCGAAAGCUAGGGGAGCAAACAGGAUUAGAUACCCCGGUAGUCC